AGUAUCGGCGGCUGCCGGCUGUUUUCUGUUCAAAAGCGGUGGCGCUAGGAGUGUGCAGAGGGCGCUACGAGCGUGCGCACAUGCGUAGCAUCCGUAGAGUGGCGCCUGCGUCAGUCGGCCGCUGGCUCUCGUCGGGAGACGAUGUGUGGUCGGUCGCUCCGUCGUCCCCGCUCUGCGUCACUUUAUCCCUGGCUGUCGUUGGGAUGGGACGCUCCGUCGCCGCGGGGGAAAAGACUUCAAAGGGAACGAACAAGUACUAUAGGAAAAACUGGAAAGCACAUGAGAGAAGAUCCAAAAGAUGUGGGUUCGAGUUCUACAGCUGGCUAACCUUUUCAGUGACUUUCAUCUUUCAUUGGGAAGCACAGUUUUUACAUACGUACAUGUCAACCAUCACGGUGCAGGGAAAAACAAAAAUAACUAAGAGCAAGUACGCAGCAUCUGUUUGUUCCAGGAUCUUUUUUGUCCACUAUGCUACUUAGUAGCGCAAAUACUGAAUACGAACAGCCGUCCUCAAAGAAAAUAAAUAAAUUCGUCAUGCAUCCA